UUUUUUUUUUUUUGGACUCUGCACUGUUUGACUUAUUUUAAUGAGCAUACAUUUUUUUAUUUUUUUAAAUAAUAAGAUCUAAUCAAAUGAAUGUAUAAGUCCAGGACCCACAAACAGCUCUGCCCGACACAAAUGUGGGGAUGGGAGUGGGAGCUAUAGAGCUGGGAGGAAUCCAGAAUCCAAAGUACCCCGUGAUCCUGUUGAGGAGCUUGGGUCUCUCCUGGGGGCCUUCAGGAAGACACUAAACAUUUGCACGUACAGGGAUAAAUAACAUCACAGGAUCCAUGUAACAUGAAGAGCCCUCAUGCAGGACAAUUUUACACUCUAGCUUUAUUCCUUCUUUUUUUCAGGGUGGAUAUCCUUAUUCUGUAUCUUUGUAUUUGCAGUUGACUGAAAAUUGGAUUGUGUGGCAAAACAGUCUUGAAAGCUGGGGCUAAUUAUCCAAGCUGCCCUCUGCUUUUCGCCUGGGUGAGGAGUGGGAAGCAGAGACUUUCAGCUAGUGGAACUACCCACCGGGUUGGCAGAGCCACUGUCUUGAGGUCAGCUUCUGUCAGCCUGAAUCCCCGGAGCCCUCCAAAAGUACUAGCUGCAGCCAACCCUACACAGAUGCUGCCUCGAGGCACUCUCCAGCCAUUCUCUCCACAGAGGCUCUACUAGGAAGCUUCUCUUGAUGACCUUUGUGUGUAACAUUCAAGAAGAAAAAAGGUGGCUCCUAUGGUAAGGAAGCAGGGCUGGCGCCCACUACAGAAUCAAACAGCCUAACCCAUUCUCUUCACUUUAACUGUAUGGCUCCCCCUCCGCCCCCCGCGCCCCCCGCCCCCGCCCCAAGCAGGUAUUGCUGUUUGAGAGUAUAUGAUUUUGGAGAUCUAUUUGGAAGCUUGUGUUUCAUGUGGACCUGAAAAUAAGAUACUAGUGACUUUGAGAAGUGAGCCACUCCAGGCAAGCCCUAUGACAGACACACUGAAGGUUGUGUGUCCCUUUAAGAGAGAAGUAUACCUGCAGUCUUUCCAGAAUUGCUGGGGGGCUUGCUCAUCAGCUAAGCCUCUCACAGCAGAGUGCUGAUUACCCUACCGCAGAGGGGAAAAAGAUUAAUAUAUUUCUUCUCAGAGAUACUGUAUCUAGAUUUUGACAUUUUAUUUAUCUCAACCUUUAAGCUUAUCUUGCUUCAAUAUGGUAAAACCGCCAGCUCUACCAAAUCUCACAGCUUAAUCCACUGUAAAGCAGAGAAGAUUCUGAGGUGCAGUUAAUUGUUCUGUGUCAGAUCAGCCCCCUUCCCUCAGUUUGACUCCCUGAGUGAAAACAACACAAAACAAAACAAAAUCAACAACUCGCUCCAGGAUUAAGGUGUAAUCAAUGACAAGACCAACUGGGAGCAAAAGCUCAUUAAUAUGGUACAGCGGCAUAGAGCUCUGUCAGCCAAGGUUUGUGGAUUCCGCCAGGCUUAAGGCCCUAGAACAUCACUGCAAGGUCAGCUGCCUCUUGGCCUCCCUCCUAUUCUAACAUCCCUAAGGCAUUUGCCACUUGCCCCCUUUGGACUGCUCAGCUGGUAAAAGUUGUAAAGAAUAAAGGCUCAAUUGAAAAGUGCAUGUAUCAAUUUGCCGGAUGGGAAGCCGUUUCCGUUGCCCAGUAUUUCUCUGGAAUGGGGCAAAAGUGGCUUAAAAUGUCACAGUGCUUUGAAAAACCCUAUUUUUAAUACACAUAUAUAACAAUUUUAUAUAUACACAUACACACACACACACACACACACAUAAUGAUUAAAAUGCUGUUUGCUGACGUAUGGCAAGAUCCACCAGCAGGCAGAUGGGACCUGAGAUGAAAAAUAAGUAGUGAUAUGACUGAAGUUUAUUAACUAACAUGCCUCUAAGUGUGUGGGCUAUUAUUUACAAACUUUGGCACACUAUACAAAUAAACUCAGAGGAUGCAAUAAUGUAUGUUGAGCACUUUGCUUUGCACCUGACAUAUACGGAGUGCUAGAUCCAAGUUAGCCUUUAUUAUUGCUAUCACUAUUUUCAUCAACAGCAUCACUGCCAUUAUCAUGAAACCAGCAAGGUGCUGGGUUUAAGGACAUGAAGUCUAGCUGAGAACAGAAAAUAUACACAUGAGCAAAGCAAAGACGCACCACUACUCUCAUGUCUUUAUUACAACACUUAACGGUUGUGUGACAGUUUGUCUAUUUACAUUAGAUUUAACACCUUCUGGGAUAUGGCAGUUCUGGGUACAGCUUAAGUCCCUUAUUCAAUACAGUUACAUAAGGCAGCUUACAGGCAAGUACAGUUCUCUCUCAAUUUAACUAUCCACAGAGUGUGGCUUCUCUGAACAAUGAACUUCUGGAAGGCGGAGCCUACAUGCUACGGAUCUAUGCACUCAUCCACCUUCUCUUCCCUAGACAAGAAAAAUGUAAGGCCUAAAGAAGUUAAUCGAUUCAUCUGUGUUGAAUAAAUGAGUGAGAAAGAGAAUGCUAUGUUAAUGACCGUGCAUUAGAGAUAAAACUGUAGUAUUCACUGGUCUGUUGAAAACCAGAUACGUGCUGAGCAUUCUCCAUGUGCUAUGUCCUGUAUUCAAAGUGACAUGAGAAUCUCUAAAACCUGGCCUGUGCCCCUUGGAAGGCUCCGAAUGUUGGCAAGGGCAGGUUUUCUGACAAGAAAGUACAAGCUGGUGCAGGAGAAAAUGAUUCAACCCAUAGCUGUCUCACCUGCCACCGUCAUGACUGAACUUGAUGAUGUGAGACCAUGAGGACCUUUCUUUCUGGCCCCAUCCUUGACCCAUCCAGGCCUAUCUCUCUCUUCCUCUAUGUCAGCACCCCCAAAAGGUUCCUUAAAGACCAAAUACAAGCAUCAUGAGCCACUCCAAAAAAAAUGCAAGUCCUGCAAAGCACUCAUGAAGUAUUCCAAAUAUUUAUUUCUCCUUCUUUCAUUUUCUAAAUUAUAUUUUCCUUAACAUAAGUGCUCUUUUAUCAAAGUAUCAGGGUUAUAAUAGCACAAAUACCCACAGUCCUAUUUGUCACAUAGGACAUGACAUGUACGGCAAAUAACUAUUGUGGGUAUAAGAAAAGCAAAUAUAUGUGGGUAUAUUGUUUAUGUAUAUAUGUGUGUAUUAUGUGUAUAUAUUUGUAUGUAUGCAUGCAUAUUUGUCUGGUUUUGAUAUGUAUGCAUGCAUAUUUGUCUGGUUUUGAUAUGACAUAUAUAUGAAUAUAUCCUUGAAUGAAACUGAUUCUAAGCUGGAAAAGACAGCAGGUCAUUCUUGCCACACUUUCCCAAGCUUAAAGCCCAUGGAGGCCACUCCAUCAGAAGGGAGGUCUGAUACAACUAGAACAUGAUGUCAUUUUCAUUUCAUUAACUCCAUCCCUUAAGAUGAGAAAAGAAUAUUCUGCCUGGAUUGAAGCAUCAGUAUCAAAGCCCCAUUACGGUGAGAAAAGCAGGCUGAACGUGAGCUUCAGCAGACCAGGACAAGCUGUCCCUCAUGGCCUCCCAUAUGCUCUUCCCAGUACCACUCAGGUUGAAAACCUGGCUGUUAUGUGUCUGUCCUACUGAGACAGAACUGCAUAUCUUUUAAUUUUCUAAUGUACCGAUGACACUUUCUAUGGCAGAGUAAAAGCUGGCUUUUACUUUCAUUUAUGUACAUACGUUAGAGAAAUCCAUCAAGAAAACAAACUUACUCAGAGUCACAAAGAUGCUGACAAACAGGUAUUGCAUUUAAACAAUGCAGCAGGUGUCAAGCCUUUCAUGCAUUAAAGAUCUGAAUUUUUUGAGGCUCCCUACCAAACUUCCCACAUUUUAAUUCAGUUACAAAAUUUCCUUGGGACAGAAACUCUGCAUAAGUGACCUCCUAGUUGGGGAAAGAGCUCAGUAAUUUAAGUACCUGACAACAAAUAAUAGAACCUAGCCUUUUUCCUUUGGUCUACUAGGGUUCUCCUAAAACACAUGACUAUUUAUUUGAGGCUUCUGGUACUGAGUGUAAAGCCCAAAAGAAAACAGACAUCUGAUGAACAUGAAAUUUAAUGAACAAUCUUCUUUGGGGGCCCGGUAGAUUCCUUCUGGAUUUUUAUCCAAUCCAGACACCUCCUCUUAUAUGACAACUUCACUCCCCAACAGAGGCAGCUCUUGCACCAAACUGCUACCAAGUAAAUCAACUUUGCCUCCCCAGCUACUGUUGAUUGUACAGUGUAAGCAGCUUUAGGCAGGAAAGAGCUCUCCGCAGGAAGCACCCUUUUGUCUUGUCACUAACCUUAAACCAGGCGCCCCCAUGCUCUACUCAUCUCCAGCCCUAGCACAGCUUUAAAAUCUUUCCAGCACACAAUUCCUGGCCUAAUCUGUGGGUUCUUUCUCUAGAUCAAAGGAGAAAUGGAGAAUAAAUUACUUCCCUCCUUCCCUUUAAAACCUCCAUGGCCAAGUAGACUAUUCAGAGGCAGUUUUGGGCAGAUGCUGAGUCCACCAACACCCAGACUAUCAGCAUUCAGAUCAAAGGCAACUGUCCCUUCUACCAACAUUUGUGAGUAUUGAUUGUGAGCCAUGAGACACAAUUCCAUAACAUGGGGCGGGGGCCUGACACAAACAGGACAACUGGAGUCUUUCUCCCUAGAGCUCAGUGUUGAGACUGAUAGCCAGUAGCCAGUCUCUCCUGGUCUCCUGGUGAACUGAUAGGUAAUGAAUCCCCCACUGAUCUUAUGUUGUCCCAUACACCACUCCUGCCUUUCUGAUAUUAGUAUAAUGACUCUCACUGUCUAUAUGUGUGUGUGAGAGUAUAUUUGUGAAUAAUAUUUUUUUUCUUUUUAUGGCUGCAACUGCGGCAUAUGGAAGUUUCCAGACUAGGGGUCAAACUGGAGUUAUGGCUACUGGACUAUACCACAGUCUUAGCAAUACUGAAUCUGAGCCACAGCAGCAACUUAUUCCCCAGCUUGUGGCAAUGCUGGAUUCUUAAUCCACUAAGCAAGGCCAGG
rnacentral:lncRNA from 1 species